UGAUUUUUAAUGAAUUAUUUUUAAUUUUUUUGGUUUAUAAAUCAUUAAAUUUGAAGAAUCUAUGGUUAAUUACAAUUAAGAUUAUGACAUAUACUUUUUUGAUUGAAUUCGAAACUUUUAUUGCCUGUGUUUGAUGUAUUGUUAAAUUUUUUUCUUUUUUUUGAGUUCUUGAUGUAUUCGAAUCUGUGCUGCCUUCAAUUAUUGAAAUUAUUCUGAUUUUCAUGUGUUAUUUGUGUAUUGUAUUUUGAUUCUGCAAUUGGCAUGACUCAUAUUUUUUUUUUUUUUUUGAGGCUGUAAUUUGGAUGACUCGUAUUAUUGAAAUUAUUCUGAUUUUCAUGACUCGUAUUAUUGUAUUUUAAUCCGUGCUGCAUGACUCGUAAUAUGAUGCUUCAUUCUAUUAGCUGUAUAAUGUGUUCUGGUGAUGGUACUAGUCUGCUGCUCUGUGUCAGCUCCCUGCUGAUGUUUUGCCUUCUGCCUGCUGCUGUUCAGACAGCUAGCACCUGCUGGCUGCCUGUGUUCUGCAGAUGGGUCUUCUGCUGUUUGGAUGCCAUGUUGCUAUUGUGUCUUUGUUGUUUGUGAGCUAUUACAGUUUUGUUUGGAGUGUUGUUGCAGCCUAUGUUGUUGCUUUGUGUUUUUUGUGCUUAUAGGGGACUUAUCUACAUAACCACCAUAUUUAGGUGCACCUAAAUAAACUAAGUAAAGGUUCUUCUUUUGAUAAUGUAUUGAACAAAUUUGAUCUGAAAAACUAAGUAAAAGUUCUGCAGUAGCCUAGUUAAGUCAAAGUUUUGCAGUAGUCGAGUUGAAUGAAAUACAUGUUUUUUUUUUUUUUUUUUGAAAAAGGAAAGUUAAAUUAUAUGUCAAUGUUUUAAAUCUCUCAAUUCGUGCAUUUUUAACUUCUCAUAAAGGUGAUAAAAUGAGUAGUUGGACCAACUUCUUACAAUCUAGUUAUGAGUACGAGAAAGGUGUGGAGGAAUAUUUAGAUAAAGCAUUUUCUACACAAGCAAUUGGAGAUCAAAUUACUUGCCCGUGUAAGGUGUGCUAUCACCGGUUCUGGCAUCGCCGAGAGACGGUGUUCAAUCAUUUGAUUACAAACGGGAUCGAGCCUGGCACCGAAGGAUUGCGUUGUUAUGAAAAGGGUGUGUCAUCAGUCUCAAAUGCAGAGGAGUAUGAUGAAGACAUGGAUGAUGAUAUUGAACGUCUGAUAUAUGAUGUUCAUAGAAAUGUGGCAGAAACUUAUGAAGGGGUUGGAGAUGAGCCCAAUGAUGAUGCUAAGAAGUUCUAUAAGUUAGUUGAGGAUGGAAAACAAGAGUUAUACCCUGGGUGCAAAAAAUUUUCAAAGCUAUCAUUUCUCAUCCGUUUAUACCUUCUAAAGUGUACUCAUGGGUUAACUAAUAAAGCAUUUUCAGAUCAUUUGGAGUUAAUCCGAGAAGUGUUACCAGAAAAAUCUAAAUUGCCUAACUCUUUUAAUGAGGCAAAGAAAUUGAUAAAAGAUUUGGGGCUUCAUUAUGACAAGAUUGAUGCAUGUCGUAAUGAUUGUAUGCUAUAUUGGAAGGAGCAUGAAGCUGCCACGUUCUGCCAUGUUUGUCAUACUCCAAGGUGGAAAGAAACAGAGAUUGAAAACCAAGAAGAUAUUAGCAAUCAAUCACCUAAGAAAGUACCUGCAAAAGUUCUUUGGCAUUUUCCUCUGAAACCAAGGCUUCAAAGGUUGUACAUGUGUUUAGAAACGGCAGAGCUAAUGAGGUAGCAUGAUGAAGAAAGAGAAAGAGAUGAGUUAUUGAGGCAUCCUGCUGAUGGUGAGGCGUGGAAAGAGUUUGACCAAAAGUACCCAGAUUUUGCGAAAGAAGCACGUAAUGUUCAUUUAGGGCUUGCAAGUGAUGGAUUUAAUCCAUUUCGAACGAUGAGGACACAACAUAGUACAUGGCCUGUUGUUUUAAUUAAUUACAACUUACCACCAUGGCUAUGUAUGAAGCCAGAAUUCUUGAUGUUGUCUCUCCUUAUUCCCGGGCCCACUUCUCCUGGGAAUGACAUUGAUGUCUACCUUCAACCAUUGAUUCAGGAACUUAAAGAUCUAUGGGAGUAUGGUUUGGACACUUAUGACGCGGAGAAGAGUCAAACAUUUAAGAUGCAUGCAGCUUUGCAAUCAACAACCAGUGACUUUCCUGGUUAUGCUAUGUUAUCUGGUUGGAGCACCAAAGGGAAGUUUGCAUGCCCUUAUUGUCACUACGAGACUGAUCAUCAUCAUUUGAGUAAUAGUAACAAAUCUUGCUAUUGGGCUCAUCGUCGAUGGUUAGAUGAAAACCAUCCUUGGCGGCAUGAUACGGAGUCCUUUAAUGGGGAAAAGGAAGAGAGGACAUCUCCAAAACCUUUAACAGGGGCUGAAAUUUCAAGCUUGUUGGAAAAAUGGGAAAACAACUUUGGAAAGUUACAACCAAAGAAGAAAUAUGAAGAUUGUCCAUGGAGAAAGUCCUCUAUCUUCCACACUUUGCCAUAUUGGAAAGAUUGUGGGUGUCGUCAUCAUUUAGAUGUUAUGCACAUAGAAAAAAACGUAUGUGAUAAUGUGUUGGGAACUUUGUUAGACAUACCUGGAAAGUCAAAAGACCAUCAUAAAGCUCGAUUAGAUCUCCAAGAAAUGGGUAUAAGGGACAAAACUACAUCCUGUAGAUGCAGGUGAACGGUAUGUUUUGCUGCCCAAAGCAUCAUUCUCAAUGACAAAGGAAGAAAAAGGCAUAUUUUGUAGUGUCUUGAAGAAGGCAAAGCUUCCACAAGGUUGUGCAUCAAAUUUAGCAAGGUGUGUGCAAGUGAGGGAAGGGAAAAUAUCAGGGUACAAAAGUCAUGAUGCUCACAUAAUGAUGCAACACUUGCUUCCGUCAGCAAUUAGGACAACUUUACCAAAGCAUGUUGCAUUACUUCUUAUUAAAUUGAGUGCCUUUUUCCGAGAAAUAUGCAAGAGAGUCAUUAAUCUGAAAGAUUUGGAUCGCCUUCAAGCUAAAAUUGUGGAGACUCUUUGUGAACUUGAGAAAAUAUUUCCACCGUCUUUUUUUGACAUCAUGGUCCACCUGCCGAUUCAUUUAGUUGAUGAAAUAAAGCGUGGUGGACCAGUGUGUGAUUGGUGGAUGUACCCUAUAGAAAGAUACCUUGGAAAGUUAAAAUUGUAUGUGAAAAACCGAUGUCGCCCCGAGGCUUCUAUUGCGGAAGGGUACCUGGAAGAAGAGUGCUUGAUAUUCUGCUCUAGAUAUUUGAAUGCUAGUGUGAAGAAGAAAUCUAAGUGGUAUAACAAAAGUCAGGAGAAAACUGAUGUGAUUGAUGAAGAGUCACCUUUAUUUCCUAAGGUAGGUUAUCCUCUCGGGAGGAAGAAGAAAGGGAAGAAGAAAGAGAAGUCAUAUACUCUUGAUUCCAACACAUUGGCUGUAGCACAUCGUUAUGUGUUGUUUAAUUGUCAAGAUGGCCAAGUUGAGAGUUACAUCAAGGAACAUGAAGAGUUUGUAAAAGAGUGUAAAAAAAAAGUCCAGAGAUCGGCGAAAAAGAAGGUGGAAAGAGGCAAAAGAGCAUAGUAUUGAAUUCAUGGUUUGGUUCAGAGAAAAGGUUGUUCUGGAUAAUGUCUCCGAUCAUAUCAAGUGGCUAGCUAUAGGUCCUUCUAGUAUUGCAAGGAAGUAUACUGGGUAUUUUUGUAAUGGAUAUAAGUUUUACACACGAGCUCAUGAUGAAAAGUGUAAAACUCAAAAUAGUGGAGUCUCUUUGACAGCUUUGACUCCAAGCUUCGCGAGCACCAAGGAUCAUAAUCCUGUUAUGGGUUAUGUCACAUAUUAUGGGAUUAUAAAAUCGAUAAUUGAGAUAGAUUAUUGGAGUUCAUUUAGUGUCGUGUUGUUCAAGUGUGAUUGGUUCCAUGUGGAAGUAGAUGAUUAUGGACUCACUCGUGUGAACUUCAAGAAAUUGUGUUCUAAAGAUGACCCUUUUGUCUUGGCAUCACAAGUGCAUCAAGUGUUCUAUGUUCAAGACGGCCUUGAAGAAGAUUGGCAUUAUGUGAAUCGAAAUUUACCGAGGGGCUUUUUUUAUGCAGAGGGGCAAUAUGAAGAAACGUAUGUGACUGAAGUUCAUGGACCCGAGGAGGAUGUGAUACCAGCUAUAGAUCAUGAUGAGCACCAUAAUUUGCAUAGAGAAGGAGCUUAUGAAAGAGUUGAGGUUCCUGUGAACACUGAAAUGAAUGAUGUUGGUCACGAAGAUAGUUCUGAUAUAGAUGACACGGAUUGGGAUUGGAUGGAACCAUCAAAGUGAAAUGUAUAGGAUCUUUUGAUUAGAAUAAUUAUCCUUGAUUUGAACUUGUUUUAUUGGAUGUAAUGAAUAGAUUUACUGUUUAUGGUCAAGAACAUGGUCGAGGCAUGAUAUGAUAGUGGUAAUUUUUACAUUUGUGCAGUGUUGAGUUGUGUGGUAUCCAGGAGCUUGGGCAGAAGGCAAGUUGCGGCGGAUGUAAAAUAUUCCAAUUUAUAUUUUGGUUCCUUUUGUGUUUAUAUCUGGAUUGGAGCUGUUUGUUGUCACUGCUACUACUAUCACUGUUGCUGCUGUUUGUAUUUUUCCUGAUUCUGAACACUCAUUUCUGAUCACUCUGAUUCUGAUCACUCAUCUAUGCUGAAAUCUCUGAUUCUGAUCCUUUAUAUGCUCUUUAUAUGCUAUUUUUAAGGAUUCUGUUAUGUUAGCUAUUCUGUCAGUCCUUGCCUUUAUAUCUGAUUCUGAUCACUCAUUUGUAACAUGUUAAAAAAAAGCGAGAGUCCUAAAAGUUUCUGAUCACUCAUUCUGAUUCUGAUCACUCAUUUCUCUGACAUGUAUCCCAAUCCUUGUCACUACUACCUUAUUUAUUACCCAAUUUACAGUCCCAAGAGUUCCUUAAACUUAAAAAAACAUACUACUGGUUAUCAUGCCAACCAACUUAAACAAACCAACAGCUUAUUGUCAUUGUUGGUUAUUUAACUUAAUUAAGCAGGCUAAGUAAGAGCAGCUUUGCUUUCUACUCCUUCAUAUGAUCUGCUGGCUUUAAGUAACACUAGGAGACAGCAUGUUGGCCAUUUGAGGCCAACAUUUUAAACAUAAAUAGUCUUGUGUGUUCUUUGUAGGAAGCAAGAUCCAUAUGGCAGAUUAUUUGAAAAUAAGAGAAAAAAGGAUACAAGAAAAUAAGUUAAAAAUGAAUGAGUUGGGGGUUACAUCCAUGGCUUAUAAAAUGACACAGAUGAUGAAGGGAUCAAAACAAACGAAAAAAGGUGAGAAGGUGACAAAAGAUAAUGAUGAAUAUACACCUGAUGAUGAAGAGGGUGAGUUGAACCACUCAAGUGAAGAGGAUGAAAAUCAGAUAAGGAAAAACAUUGUAAACUUGAGGUCUCGUUCAAAGAAGGUGGUUUUUUUUUUCUUUGACAGCUUACUUAUGUUUUGACUAACUAUUGUUGAAAAGAUCAUGUAAUACUUUCAAUGCUUUUAAUGAGUAUAAUUUGAGGUUGAAGCAUUAAAAGAGAAGAUUCCCACAAACACGGAAAGACAACACUUAGAUCAAGGGUUGGAAGGGAGAGAUUCAACACAAAGAAAAAACCAAUUGGGCAAGUCUACUGCACAGAAGAGUCAACAAGAGAAAGAGGUUGAGAUUGGGAAUGGGGUUAAAACUAAGGUACGGCAAAGUAAGGCAAUGGUUGCUCCUGGUUCACUUGGUGCUUACAGGCAAAUGAAAACGCAAUUGAAGGAAAAAGAGAAGAGAUCAAAACAAAGUGAUUUUGCAACAACGACAACUACAACCUGUUAACAUGACUAGGUCACAGCCUGUUAACAUGGCGAGUUCACAAGGUCUUUUAGGGAGUUUGCAAGCACAAAGUUUUUCUCAACCACAAAGACUUGGAUCUCACUUGCAGGAAGAUAAUGAGAAUCAUAUUAGUUCAAAUUACUACAAUUUGGAAUUGUAUGUAGAUGAAGAAGAUGACCUUAGUGAUGGAUUAAGUACUCUUACUCCCGAGAUGCUAGGAAUGCAAGUUGAGCCACCACUGAAUCAAGAGCACUAAAGUGAACAAAUAGCACUUUCAAAAAGGAAGUGGACUAGAGGACCAACUAUGUGUAAAGACGUCCAUGAAUGGACAUUAGAAGAGCGCAAGCCGAUCGUGCUUAAUGAAAUGGGAAAGCCUAUUGGUCCCGAUGAUAAGACUGUAGAUAAAUAUACAAGAUUCUUGGGGACUUUAGCUCAAAAUGCUUCUCUGGCACCGUUGAACAGGAUUAAUUGGCAUCAAGUUCCAGAUAAGGACAAUAUUUGGGAAUAUGUGAAGAAGAAAUUCAUUAUCCCUGAAGAAGGUAAAGACUCUGUUUUGUCAUCCGUGGGAAGGCUUUGGCGUAAAUAUAAGUGCAGUGUAAAGGCAAAGCACUUUACUCCGUACGACAAUGAUGGUGAUAGGUUGGCAGAUUUACCUGAAACAAUUCCAGCAGAGCAUUUCAAAGAAUUACUAGAAUUUUGGAAUUUGAAAGAAGUCUAGGAAGACAGCAAGAAAAAAAAGGAGAUAAGUAAAGGUCAGAUAGAUAGGCACACUAUGGGGCCUAUGACUCUAGCGAGGAAACAAUAUAAAUUGCUACAACAAGAUGUUGAGAAGAAACCACCAUCCUUAGCACUCGUGUACAAAGAAAGUCGUAAAAGGAAACCAGGGAAAAUGUACAAAACAUCUUCUGAGCCCGCCCAAAGUAACAUUGACAAGAUGGAGGAGGUCCAAAUGCAAAGUGAAGUCGAUGGAGAUGUUGCAUACUAUGAAGUGAUGAAUAAACCAAAUAACAUUGGCCAUAAAAGAAAGAAAUCGGGGAUAGGUUCACUAAAGGGAAAGAGCAACAAACCAAUAAUUGCUGAUGAGUUCUUAAAGCCCUAUAAAGACCAGAUUGUGAAAGAAACUGUUGCCGAAUUACUGAAGACGCUCAAGCAACAUCCUGAAGCUUUAGAUACUUUGACUCGAUCACUUGGAAAUGAGUCAUCCAAUCCAGAACUUAGUGAUCAUAUUCCCAAUGUAAACUCUAAUGAUGAGCAAGAGCAAAAUGAGGACCAAGAUGAAGAAUUGGAGUAACAUGUAAGCUCAUCAUUUUUUUUUUGAAAUUCUAUUUAUUUAUUUUCUCACAAUUUAUACUUGUUCUUUUUGGAGUGUAUGAGCACUUUAUUAACAUAUAUAUUUGGAUACAUUUGCACAGACUUUGACAGAGGUUCGGGCUCUGAGUUCCACUGAUUUGAAAAUAGUUAGAAGCUUCCCUGUGUUAUUUUCAUUUUUCUGAUUUAUAAUUAGUACACUUUAUUAACAUAUAUAUGGUAUCGAGCGUAAGUAUAAUGCUGUUUGACGUGUUUGUGCCGUUUUCUGUUGAUAGUAUCUGCUGCUUGCUGCCCCUGCUGCUGUCCUGUGCUGAUAUGCUGCCGUCUGUGCUGAUCUGCUGCUGUCUGUGGUGAUCUACUGCUGUCUGCUGUCUUUUUUUUUUUUUUUGGGAAUCCGGAGUUCUAAAGACCAAAGUUCAUUUUCUUAUGGUUUUGAUUUUACUAGAUUGUCAGCUCAAACAAAAAUAUUGGUGUUUAUGGAUUUUUUUGUCAGAAUUAUAUAUGAAAUAAUUUCAAUUCAAAUUAUAUAUUGUCUAUCGCAUA